GACGAACGCUGGCGGCGUGCUUAACACAUGCAAGUCGAACGAAGUGGCGAACGGGUGAGUAACGCGUAAUCAACCUGCCCUUCAGAGGGGAACAACAGUUGGAAACGACUGCUAAUACCGCAUACUGAAGGAGGGGAUUGCGGCGGAUUGGCUCGUUGGAGGGGGAACGGCCAACCAAGGCGAUGAUCAGUAGCCGGUCUGAGAGGAUGAACGGCCAAAUUGGGACUGAGAAACGGCCCAGACUCCUACGGGAGGCAGCAGUGGGGAAUCUUCCGCAAUGGAGGAAAGUCUGACGGAGCAACGCCGCGUGAGUGAUGACGGCCUUCGGGUUGGAAAGCUCUGUUAAUCGGGACGCGGUACCGGAAUAGAAAGCCACGGCUAACUACGUGCCAGCAGCCGCGGUAAUUC
rnacentral:rRNA from 1 species